rnacentral:rRNA from 1 species
GACGAACGCUGGCGGCGUGCUUAACACAUGCAAGUCGAGCGAUGAAGUUCCUUCGGGAAUGGAUUAGUGGCGGACGGGUGAGUAACACGUGGGUAACCUGCCUCAUAGAGGGGAAUAGCCUUCCGAAAGGAAGAUUAAUACCGCAUAAGAUUGUAGCUUCGCAUGAAGUAGCAAUUAAAGGAGUAAUCCGCUAUGAGAUGGACCCGCGUCGCAUUAGCUAGUUGGUGAGGUAACGGCUCACCAAGGCGACGAUGCGUAGCCGACCUGAGAGGGUGAUCGGCCACAUUGGGACUGAGACACGGCCCAGACUCCUACGGGAGGCAGCAGUGGGGAAUAUUGCACAAUGGGGGAAACCCUGAUGCAGCAACGCCGCGUGAGUGAUGACGGUCUUCGGAUUGUAAAACUCUGUCUUCAGGGACGAUAAUGACGGUACCUGAGGAGGAAGCCACGGCUAACUACGUGCCAGCAGCCGCGGUAA